rnacentral:tRNA from 1 species
GGGAAGGUAGCUCAGUGGUAGAGUGCUUGCCUUGCAUGUGUGAGGUCCUAGGUUCGAUUCCUCAGCCCCA